CAAUUAACAAAACAUCUAUACUACUAUUAAAAGAGCAAACAAGAAUUCCCCUAAAGCCACACCACAAAGUGCACACGGAAUAACCCUCCAUGUUCGAUCAGACCCACGUAAUACCAUCCAACUGCCCACAUUACAUCACCAUACUACAAUCAGAUCGACGGUGAAAACAAAUGUUCUGUCGGCAGACUCCUUCGUCCGGGAUGCUACACAACCCAACGAUGGCACCUCCUAGAAACUAAACAAUACAUCCACAAUCAACGCCGCCACCACGCCAUGAACCUGGCCUCGCCCUUGGGGUCCGCGACAUCCUCAUCCCGGUGGCCGUGCCAUCUGAACGGAACCUCGGCCUUGCUCCGCCAUCCUCACCCCUUGUCUUCGCGUCGUCAUCAACCCGGCGACCGUGCCGUCUGAACGAAACCUCGGCCUCGCCCCUGAUCUCCACGCCGUCGUUGACCCGGUGGCCGUGUCGUCUGAACGAAACCUCCGUCUCGCCCCGUCGUCCUCGUCCCUGAUCUCCACGCCGUCGUCGACCCGAUGGCCAUCCUCGACCCGGCGCGCUGCCCUACCUCCGGUGGCCCGCGCCAUAGUAGUAAUUCCGCCCCUGCCACUGCACAGGUUAGAUCAUUUGAAUUUGCAAUCAGACAUCAGACAUAAGGCAAAGGAAAUAUCUCUUUUAAUCUGACAAAUCUGUAAUUUGUAGUGUGAAAUUUGAUACUUAUAGGACAAUCAUGAUCUGCAUGACAAACUAAGUUCUUCAUGUAGAAUUGUUCAUUGUUUGACUCACAAAUUGACGGCAAGGUUGAAGAAGUGUUUCACAAAUAGAUGCAGUGAGAAGACAAUAUGACAUCCUCUCAGUGUAGUGGGGUAUGUACUCCCUUUCAGGACUUGACAAACAGCGGCAAUUUAGGUAAAUACUACUUCGACCUUGUAAAUCCUGAAUAUUUCAUUCCCUCAUAGGUCAAAAAACAGAUCCAAAAAAUUGAAGAGACAAAGGGAAAGGGAGAGGUAUGCACUAAACAGGGAUGCAAUAUUAAAAAGAAGACAUGAGGCAAGGGAUCGUAAGAAAGCUACAUCGGCUAUUCUCAAUGGAAACAACACUCCAUCUAAGCCACCCGUCUCCAUGUCGCCUGGUUUCUCUAUUUUCUCUGUUCUUUAUGAUACAUUCAUGAAUAACAAGUAAAGUCAUAUUAAUGAUCAGUUCGUUUGGGCAGAUUUUGACACUGUGGAGAGGCCCAGUGCACCAUCUGUUGUUACCCAGCAUGGGUACACACCGGAAGGUGAUGUUUCUCUUGACAAACAUAAUAGCUUCCUUUCCGUGUCAACAAAACUGACACAGUACAUACAUUUGUGAUGUAGGUAUACCUGUUGAUGUCGUAAUGACUGAUCAGACUCCACUUCAUGGUCCAAAUUCAUUAAGAACACCCGAAGAUGUCAACAUGUCGAGUCUGCCAUUGAGUCCUCCCAACUAACUGGGUUACGACCACCACUUCAAGCCUACAAAUGCAGCAUGUCAUAUGGUAAUCAACUGUUCCUCAUAUUAUCUAUGAUACAUAAUUGACACUUAGAUCGUACAGAGGAAAAACAACUUCUUCUCAUAUUGCAUUGUCUACUGUACAUAAUUCACACUUAUUCUACAGAAAGAAAAACAAGCACUUAAGAGGGAGAGGGAAAAUGCCCGGUAUGAGCAACAUGAAGAAGGGAUAUUACAGAGCCUACGUGAGAAACGGUGCCGAGCCAAAUCUACAGUUGUCCCAACAACCGGAGAACAAACUCAAUCCAGUACAGGUGAUGCCAGCUACAUCAAACACAUGAUAUCCAAUCUUUGAUUUCCUAAUUGAUAGUCACUCAAUAUUUCUGUAGCCGAUGAAGAUUGUGAUUGGCUACACAAAAAUGAUACAUACCAGAUGCAAAACAUUGGAGGGAGGAUGACGCCAGUCAACAUACUCAGUAAGCCGUCGUGUGGACACAAUCAUGUGGAAAAAUGUAAUUGUGCUUUAAUUCACUACUGCUUGGUUCAUACUUUUAAUUGUAGGUCAUAAAUACGUAUAUAAAUUGCAUGACUGCGAUGGAGCAUCUAUAGGUAAGGUCAGGUGGAAGUGUGUUCUUAGAAAAUGCAUGCAUCUCUAAGAUGAUAAAGAUCGGUGGCUAUCUACCCUCAGAUGACAUGGAUGCUGCACCAGUAUGGGUAUUAAAUAGAGCCAAAGAAUAUUUUGAAAAUGAUAUGGUUAGUCUUAGUUUUCUACAUAUUUCUAUGAAUUUUAGCGAGAACGACCGAUUCGUCUACAUAGGAGUACAACUAAAAUAAUCAUUUUUUUCAGAUAUUCAUUCCAAUAAACAUGGACGACGUUCACUGCUACCUAUGUGUUAUAAAUGCUAGAAAACUAUGUGUUCAAGUGCUCGACUCGCUAGGCCCAUCAAUGAAUCGCAAGGACCUCACUGAUACGGUUAGUAGUUAGUCCUACUGCCCCAUCUUUGCAUAAGAAGCAUUUUUUUCUUAUUUCUCUCAUGUCAUGCUUAUACUUUUUUCAUUUGUUGGUACAACAGCUAGAAGGACCGGAGGAUUUAUUCAAAUAUGCAUCCGAGCACAUGGAAUUAAAAUCCAAUAAGUGGACUGAUCUAAGUGUUACAACAUGGAAAAGAGAAGAAUAUAUUAAGAGCAGUCUUCAGACGGAUGGGUACGCCUCCUAAUAUAACUCAGAGCAUUUAUGCUUAACAGGGUAUUUUGGUAUGCUAUUAUGUUUAUUUUUUCACUGCAUAGUAUUCCUGAAGCAUAUUUGAUCAACAGAUUUGAUGUGCCAAUGCAAUUCUUUACCUUACUGUAUGCCAAUGCAAUAGACACAACACCUCUCAUGAGAUCUAGCCUAAAUAAUGGAGCUCAAGGCCAUACAUUUCAUUGGGCUGCAUAUAGUAUAGAAAAUGUUACAAUUUCUGGAUUUGAACAACAACUAUCUUACUACACACACGGAAAGAACCAGAUAGAUAGCUUACCUAUAUGUGCUUCACUAACAAUCGUCCACUACUCUAUAUCAUGCAUGCCAACAUAAAGAAAGAGAAACAUCUCACAAAUGAAUGACAAUGUGGCGAAGGUGCCUAUUGUGCAUACAAUGGCAUAAGCAUCAGCAAAGUUCAGAUGUCAAAUUCAUAUGCAAAGUCACAUGUAUUUCUGAUACAAACAAUACAUAUACAUAUAUAUAUAUAUAUAUAUAUAUAUAUAUAUAUAUAUAUAUAUAUAUAGACACACACACACACCAACUUGAUUGUGACCCCGGAACUUUCUGUUACUUAGUGCCUGUAAUAAUGCGACAUUACAAAGUGAGAAUACCACUCAAAUCAAGCAACUACCACAAAAAGCAAUGACUCAACAUCGAUUAUAGCUAGCUGAUAGUCACAAAUUAAGCUACCCAGAAUUCAAAUCCACAAAUUAAUUAGCUUUAUCACAGCAUGGUUGCCUCAAAAAUGUCACCCGACUAAAUCCCCACUGAUAACGGUAGGUGCAUUAACAACAUCUAAUCGAUUAGCAUACCUUCAGCAACCGAGCACAUACGCCAGCUGCGAACUCCUUCCCGGAGCAACUGUGUGAGCCAAGAACAGGGGGCGAUGAUUACGGCGGGCACGUCGACGCACUGGAUCUCGGUCCAAUUCGAGAUGCCUGCGCCUGCAUCGUGUCCAGCACCUCGCAUCUCGAUAUACUUUGGGGCAGUAGGAUGGCGGCGACAGGGUCGAUCUGGAGAAGAGCCGCGGGGUUGAUGGCGAGGCAAGGCCGCGGUGGUGAGAGGAGGCAGCGGCCCGAGGCCGUGGUGGGGAUAAGGGCCGACGGGGCAUCGCCGUGGUGGGGAUAGGAGGAGAUGGAGUGAGGCCAUGGUGGUAGGGCGACAUCGCGGGAGAGGAUGCGGCGUGCUGCAGAGCAGCAGAAGAGGCGGCUGGCGGAGAAAGCAAAGUGACGAGUCUCA
rnacentral:lncRNA from 1 species